AUUGAACGCUGGCGGCAGGCCUAACACAUGCAAGUCGAACGAGUGGCGGACGGGUGAGUAAUGUCUGGGGAACUGCCCGAUGGAGGGGGAUAACUACUGGAAACGGUAGCUAAUACCGCAUACUAUCGGAUGUGCCCAGAUGGGAUUAGCUAGUAGGUGGGGUAAUGGCUCACCUAGGCGACGAUCCCUAGCUGGUCUGAGAGGAUGACCAGCCACACUGGAACUGAGACACGGUCCAGACUCCUACGUGAGGCAGCAGUGGGGAAUAUUGCACAAUGGGCGCAAGCCUGAUGCAGCCAUGCCGCGUGUAUGAAGAAGGCCUUAGGGUUGUAAAGUACUUUCAGCGAGGAGGCGUUACUCGCAGAAGAAGCACCGGCUAACUCCGUGCCAGCAGCCGCGGUAAUAC
rnacentral:rRNA from 1 species